rnacentral:lncRNA from 1 species
UGAUACGUAGAUCCCACGUAUUCAUUUAUCUGCAUGUGUGUUCUACCGAACUACUUCGGGUGUUUGCGGCUGCCGCCGGCCGCCGCUCAUGCCAUCCUCCAUCUGAUUCCAUCGUGGCCGCCGUAGCUCGCCACGACGACGACAUCAUUCAUUGGUCCACAGUCCGUUGUUCGGAUAUUAUUAGAGGCGGGCGGAUUAGAUCAUAGAAAUUCAUAAUACAACAAGAGGCUACUAGCGAGAUGACUAUGUUUGAAGAUAUUGGCAGCAGGUACAAUUUUGCACCAAUAUUUUUUUGUCAUGAGUUAUGAUUUUAGUCUGAUUAAUUAGCAUUGCAUACAAACUAGAGCUUUUGACACACUGUGCAUUUUUGGACCCAGGAGAUUAGUUAUUCCAUGUGUUUAAGAUAUGCACAUUGGCAAUUUUUAUUAUCUUGUAGUCAUUUCUAGUUAAUAGCGGUCUCAAUUUGACUCUAAGCUUGCACAUAUCAUGCUUGAUGUUUGUAACCAUCGAGACCUAAAUAUAUCAUCUUCACAUGCCGAUUUGAUCAUUGGAUUGUAUUAAACAAGUAAAACUACCAUAGAUUAAUGCAGUUAACUCUUUCAGUGUCAACCACGACAAAUAAACAUAUUUUUUCGCUAUGAACCAAUCGAGACGUGUUUUUGAAACAGAAUGCAGACAAUUUUCUUUGACAUUAUAUGAUUGUCUAUAUUGGUAAGGAAAAAUAGUCAACUUUUUUAACACGGG